GGAAGGUAUUCCCAGGUAUCAUUACACUGGCACAAACAUUGAGUAGUGAUAUUGGUGAUGUAAAUUCAAUGGAGUAUGAAAAGAUGUUCCAAAACAUAACACAAUUUUUUAAAGAAGCUUUUGCAAAUAUGACUGACUACAUGCAGACCAUCAUCGUGAAAGUUAAGUAAGUUUGUCACUUACCAAGUGUUUUUUCCACAGUAUGUGAAGUUUGCUUUGUGUGCUUCCAUUUAUUUAGCUGCCAGUGGAUUACUUUGGCAAAGAAAAGAUAUGGGUUGGACUGAGUGCUGUCUGAUUCCCAUUAAAUGAGGCCAUUCAUUUGGUAUUUUUAAAAUUCCUGCCCCACUUUUUACCCUAUAGAUUUCCAAUAGGUGUGUGCAGUGGGCUGGCUGAGACAGUUCCACAGAGGAUCUUCCACUUUUAACACUACAUAGAAUACAGCACUGUGCCAAUAACUGCACAGUUUGUCCCUGUAUUAUCUGGCCCUUCUGACUUCAUUGCAGACAUACCAUGAAUUAUCCUCCCCGUGUUUCAGGAUGAGUUCUCCAAGUAUGUUCUGAAUGACACCACAGGCUGAUAAGACCAUGCAAAACUUGGGAUCUAGUGGAUGAAGUCCUCCACACUGCAAAUGCUUUGAGGCUAACCCAGUAUAAAAACAUUAAUUUCAGCCCAACAACACACCAAGGAGCUAUGUUGUUAUCAUUAAAUUCAGCAGCUUUUACUUACAUGAGUCUCUUUUACAUUUGGAUGUAAAGGAGGAUGGCCACUAAUGGAUUCAUGAGCAAGGACUGAACUCAUUUUCAGGUGUCUUAGCAACUACCCACAUUAUGGGAUGAGAGAAAGAAAUCUGCUGUUGUCUUUGCGUGUAAUUUGCUAUCCAUAUGUGCUGUAUGAGACUUUAAAAUGAUGCUUUCUGUACUUCUCAGUUAUACAGCAGAUGAUACAAGCACCAGAAGUGUUAAUAAUCCAGUGACUGUAACAGUGAUGAACAUCUUCACAGCUAACACAACUGAGACUGAUGCUAAAGUUGAGAAAGCAAUAGAGACAGCAGCAGGAAAUUUGAACUACGUGAGUGGCUACACAAAUGCACCCCAAUGUGCUGUUUAUCCAUGUGAUGACACAACCACAACAUGUGAAGAUGAUGGAUAUCCAGCAUGUGUAUGCAAAGCAGAUUUCACAAAGACACAGUGGGAUACAUUUUCUUGUUCAGAUUGCGCUAACUGUACAGCAGAAGAAAACAAGUUCUGUGAUAGACAAAGUGACACUCCAGACUGCAAAUGCCUGGAUAACUUCAAAAAAGAGGGUGAAAAAUGUGUAAGGUGAGUAUUCAGCUUUUCCCUCAUGUUCCUGCAUUCAUGGUAAAGAUAGAAAAGAAGAACAGCUAAAACAGGCUUAUCCUCAGUCUAGAAGAUCAACCUGCAGCUGAGGUGAUUAACAGGGGUUCAGAUCCCCACAGUAUCACAGGUUACGGUGGUUUAAUGGUUUAGUUACUCCACAGUAUCACAGGUUAUGGUGGUUUGUUGGCAUGCACCUUUAAUACCUUAGAGCAAAGUCAAGGAGGACCUCACACUCAUUUUGUGGAAUACUUCAUAAAUAUAUACUAUUCC
rnacentral:lncRNA from 1 species